rnacentral:rRNA from 1 species
GAUGAACGCUGGCGGCGUGCCUAAUACAUGCAAGUCGAGCGAACGGACGAGAAGCUUGCUUCUCUGAUGUUAGCGGCGGACGGGUGAGUAACACGUGGAUAACCUACCUAUAAGACUGGGAUAACUUCGGGAAACCGGAGCUAAUACCGGAUGAUAUUUUGAACCGCAUGGUUCAAAAGUGAAAGACGGUCUUGCUGUCACUUAUAGAUGGAUCCGCGCUGCAUUAGCUAGUUGGUAAGGUAACGGCUUACCAAGGCAACGAUGCAUAGCCGACCUGAGAGGGUGAUCGGCCACACUGGAACUGGAACACGGUCCAGACUCCUACGGGAGGCAGCAGUAGGGAAUCUUCCGCAAUGGGCGAAAGCCUGACGGAGCAACGCCGCGUGAGUGAUGAAGGUCUUCGGAUCGUAAAACUCUGUUAUUAGGGAAGAACAUAUGUGUAAGUAACUGUGCACAUCUUGACGGUACCUAAUCAGAAAGCCACGGCUAACUACGUG